UACGAAGGGUGCAAGCGUUACUCGGAAUUACUGGGCGUAAAGCGUGCGUAGGUGGUGAGUUAAGUCUGUCGUGAAAGCCCCGGGCUCAACCUGGGAAUGGCGAUGGAUACUGGCUCGCUAGAGUGCGGUAGAGGGUGGUGGAAUUCCCGGUGUAGCAGUGAAAUGCGUAGAGAUUGGGAGGAACAUCAGUUGCGAAGGCGGCCACCUGGACCAGCACUGACACUGAGGCACGAAAGCGUGGGGAGCAAACAGG
rnacentral:rRNA from 1 species